rnacentral:rRNA from 1 species
UAAGGAAUAUUGGUCAAUGGAGGGAACUCUGAACCAGCCAUGCCGCGUGAAGGAUGACGGCCCUCUGGGUUGUAAACUUCUUUUGGAUGGGGCGAAAAAACGGGAUUUAUCCUGGACUGACGGUACCAUCAGAAUAAGCACCGGCUAACUCCGUGCCAGCAGCCGCGGUAAUACGGAAGGUGCAAGCGUUGUCCGGAUUGACUGGGUGUAAAGGGCGCGUAGGCGGAGAUGUGUGUCGGAAGUGAAAUCGUACGGCUUAACCGUACAAUGGCUUUCGAAACUACAUCCCUUGAGUACAGAAGGGGUUGAUGGAAUACCUGGUGUAGCGGUGGAAUGCGUAGAUAUCAGGUAGAACACCGGAGGCGAAGGCGGUCAACUGGUCUGUAACUGACGCUGAGCGCG